rnacentral:lncRNA from 1 species
UGGACAGUCAGUCGUGUCCUAGCCCCUGAGGAUAUCGGAGGAGGUGGCUGCUCUGUUAGCCUAAGUCUCUGAGCAACAAAGAGACAGCUCAAGGAAGCAUGAUAAAAUGAGGCCUAAGAUAAUAUUUGAGGGGAAAGUUUAUUUUUUUAUGGUCUGUUUGCAUUACACCAUCGGGUGAAGAGAGGAGGAGAAAGACUUGUCCCAAAUGGCAGAGCUGGAGAAGCACAAAUCCAAUGUCAAUAGUUGGAAAUACAAGUGUGUGGUUUCAUUAAACUUCUUUUUUUAAAAAAAACUUUGUUCUUCCUUUUCCUGAGGCAGUCCAAGGGAAGGGGACACAGAGGUGGAAACAGACAGGGAGAGAGGAGGGAGCAAGCCAGGGCCAGCGAAGGGGGCUUGUCUUAAGGAACCUGCUCCCGCUGUGAGUGUCCUCAGCCAGCCCAGGAGGCUGGCAGGCCUGAUCAGAAGCAGCCAGCCAGAGCCUUCCGCUGAUUCCAAUGACGGCUGCUAAGCAGGGGCAGG